GUUUAGCCCUGAUUGAAGUGAUAUCCUUUUUUUAUUUUUCAUAAAAAAAGAUAUAACGGAAAGCAGGAAAUAGC
rnacentral:sRNA from 1 species